rnacentral:lncRNA from 1 species
UAAAAAUGGCGCACGUUGAGCUCCUCACGUCUCUCAUCUCUAUAUCGAGUCAGAAUACGAAACGAAUCUAAGUUUAGCCAUGAAGCCACUAGUGUCUUGUACUACGUAGACGACGCUAAGAGAGACAAAGGAGAACAAGAAAGGCUGAAAUCAAGUGGCUUUUUUUUUGCAGCCUCAGCUGCAUUUCGAGGCUCACUUGCAUAAAUCGAAACAGUCGGGCUGGAAUUGUCUCGACUUGUUAUGUAACUGAUAAGAAAUCAGUGGCCUUUUUUUUCGGCUGCGUCCAUCUGUCGUUCAAGUGUCAUUUCAGCCUCCCAUUCAGCUUAAAAGCAGAAGAAAACCUCUACAUUAUUGGGCUGCGCUCAAUUUCUAUUCAACAAACGAACGACACGUCACGUUCGACCCGUCCUUGAUGCUUCCAGUGCGCAGACUGAACGACGAAUCGGGCUUGAAUAUCGUCCCCUCUUUUCUACGACAUCUGAUGGCCGAUAGCAGAUAAUUAUCGAGUGAAAAAGGCCCGUAAAGGACGACGCACAAGUUUUUUAAUUUUAUAAGGCCGUCCCUUGUCGCCUCGACUCGUCGUCCAUUAAGAUAAAGAGGUGAUACCCUGAUUUCUGCUUAAUCCGUUUCGUUCUUUGCUCUGUCUCCAGUCGAAGGCGGUUGCUAAAUGUCGACGUUUAUUAUCCCACUGGAAAUUAUCAUUCUCGUCGGGUAUCGAUUGUCUGUAUACGUCGCCUGGCGGCGUUCUAUCUGAAAGACGAAGAAGAACUGUGCGCCACGUUAGAGAGAGAAACCUCCAAUAAAAAAUAAAUAAAAAAAUGGGCUCGUCCCCACAAAUGUCACGUCCAAGAGUCGGCCAAAAACAUCCAUCGUACUUUCUGGAACCAGAGAAGCGUGGAAUCGCCUACAGCUUUCCCCUCUUCUACGAGUUCCAGUUCGUUCUCUAUCUAAACACAAGCAGCUCGGCCAACCCUCUCAUAACAUCAUCACCUCAUAACAAACAGGCGUUGCACAGAAAUGGACAAAUAUUCGACCCCGUCGGCCUACGUCGCUGCAAGCGUCCAUGUUUACCUUGCGGCCAACACAUAUAGUCACGACAUUGAAAAUAGUGCACGAGGCAAGGCUUUAAUGAACGCAUUGGACCCCCAAGUCGAAUUAUGUCGUCUCUGAUGAUCAGGCACGUACGUCAUAACCCGAUACCGCUAGACGUUUCUCAUUCUACAGUUGACAUUCUACAAAGGAACGAGACGAAUAAACGUGAAAUUCUACGCUCGGAAAUCGGAAGCUCGUGCCUUGCAGGAGAUGGAUCCGCUCGGGUUUAUUUCCGUCUUUUGAGCGAGAGCCUUGAUCAUGUCAAACGGUGAAAUUACGCUCCGAAAAUACUAAAAGUAGAGAUAACAAAAGGGAGCAAAAAAAAAAACAACAAAUAUAGAAAGAUGUUUGCUAUUCUGCAUGGAGCAAAAGUAAAAAAAAAAUAAAACAAACAACAUUGAUCUCGGCCCGGUGGUAGCCCAUCGGUGGGCCAAACUACAAGAUGGGCCAUCGUCGUAGACGUUAUCAGCGCUGGACCGGUGCCAAUCGAACGACCAACAAAAGCAUUUCACUUGGCGCAAACUAUCCAGUGAAAUUCCUCUUUUACACACUAAAAAAGAUAGCCGCUCGCACGCUUCGUUUAGUUCAACGGAGAAGAAAAACAAAUCGAAACCAAUCAAAUCAAGAUCGUCUUGUCAAACAAUCACGAAUUUUUAAAAAUCGCAACCAAAGUGCGUAACACGCAAGCCGUUCCGUCCUUGUUUUGUGUGCGCUAUAAUAAACAAUGAAUGCUACACUUGAGUAAUUGUUUUGGGACGCUCUGCAGAAAUGAAUGUUUUCAUUCCAUCUUUUCCCGUUAUUGCAUCCCGCUGUCGAGUGUGUUUUUCCCCCCCUCUUUUUCCUGUUUGUUUGCUUCAUCUCAUGAGCUCGUCCUUGUUGCUCCAACUGCCAACGCCCGAACGCUGCAUGAGCAAUAAGAGGCUUCUGGCUAUGAUAUGAAUACUGAUGUUCGAGCGUUUGAGAUUUUUAUAUUCCACGCAGCCAGUGGCUUUGACAGAAGUUGCACCCGCUACUUCUUUUUACUUUUAACACUAACGUGAUAAUGUAGAGUAAUGCAACAACAAGAAGGGAAAAAAAAAAUAUUUUAAUCCCGUCUUUCAUUCCAAUAAGGGACCCCAGCUGCCGCAACUCUCUAAAUAGAAGCUUUCCACACACAAAAAUGACAUCCCUUCCUCAUUGUCAUACGACAGACGGGGAAUGCCAUUACCGUCAGUUGAUAAGUGUCACGUGUCGUGAAUGACGUUUGUCAUCGCUUCGAAUUUCGAAAGUUCGACGAUAUAAAUUGAUAGAAAGCUGUCAGCAAACUCGGCGCCCACAUUGCCAUCCAUUUUACAAGGAUCCAACUACCGAGCUUCGAUCAUUGGGCGGGACAAAUGAAAUCAAACAAUAUCUACAGAGUCCUGAUAUUCCAUAGAAAUAUCGGAGGUGCUGAGGAUUUGCAGGUAAAACAAAAACGCCGAGGGCCUGACAGACGUACCCACAGCUUAUUGAUGAGAUGCAACAAAGUCGUUGUUAGAGCGGACGACUGGCUUUCUCUAACUGGCAACUGCUGGCUGACGUUGACUGAUGGAUAAACGCAACGAAUUACGUGAGGAUGCUGUGUUUGGAUCAACCUUUGGACCUCGUUUACAAACGCAAAAUUUCCACCAGCGGGACGAAUGAUGGCAUGGGGGAGCACCUCACCUACAUCUACCUAAACUGUUUCUGGCUACUAACCAUAUAACUAUGGGGUCAAGCGUGGUUUACGUGCGGCGUCAGCGGCGGCACGGCUGUCUGUCUGCAAUUCCUCACGUUGCGACUUGAUGUCGCGACUUGCUCCGCUGAUGCUGUCGUCUGUCGAAACGGAUGAAACUCAUUCGUUUUAUUGGCCAAUCGCAAAGCCAAGAACCUCUACUACCAAACAGUUCAGUCUCUAUACCCAAAUCAAGGUGCAUAUGAUGACCCUCCGACGGGCUUUCUUACAACCUUCUCCUCCUCGCAGGCAAUUUUUUCUUUUUUCUCAUUUCUUUUCAAGUUAGGAGUUUCUCGUUUCCAUUGCGCCCGCCAGUCGUUUGACUGUGACGGAUCGUUCAGACCAACUGAUUGAUAUGCAAAAUGUGUCGGCAUGUACGUAAAAGAGAUACGACUGCUACGACCCUAUACCAUCGGGAAAUGAAAUCGUCGAGUAAUUGACGUCAUCGGAACCAUUUAAGGAUCGAUCCGUCUAUCCAUGCAAUUGUGUUAUGAAUACAAGUCACCCCCCCACCCCUGUUCGUUUCCAUGUAAAAAUGAAAACACGUCGUCAACACAGAAUUCCACUUGGUUGUUAUAUUUCUUUUUUUUAAAGACACGCCAUCGAAUGAUUCUCGAUGAAAUCUUAUUGACUGGAAAAAAUGUGUAUGGUAGUUCUAUGCGAUCGCAAAUAAACUGUUGUUAUUCAAAGUAACGCUAACUGGCAGAUAGAUGCCGGC